CAGUCGAGCGCGCCCUUCGGGGUGAGCGGCGGACGGGUUAGUAACGCGUGGGAAUAUACCCAAAGGUAGGGAAUAGCCUCUGGAAACGGAGAGUAAUACCCUAUGAGCCCUUCGGGGGAAAGAUUUAUCGCCUUUGGAUUAGCCCGCGUUAGAUUAGGUAGUUGGUGGGGUAAUGGCCUACCAAGCCUACGAUCUAUAGCUGGUUUUAGAGGAUGAUCAGCAACACUGGGACUGAGACACGGCCCAGACUCCUACGGGAGGCAGCAGUGGGGAAUCUUGGACAAUGGGCGCAAGCCUGAUCCAGCCAUGCCGCGUGAGUGAUGAAGGCCUUAGGGUCGUAAAGCUCUUUCGCCAGGGAUGAUAAUGACAGUACCUGGUAAAGAAACCCCGGCUAACUCCGUGCCAGCAGCCGCGGUAAUACGGAGGGGGUUAGCGUUGUUCGGAAUUACUGGGCGUAAAGCGCGCGUAGGCGGAUCAGAAAGUUGGGGGUGAAAUCCCGGGGCUCAACCCCGGAACUGCCUCCAAAACUCCUGGUCUUGAGUUCGAGAGAGGUGAGUGGAAUUCCGAGUGUAGAGGUGAAAUUCGUAGAUAUUCGGAGGAACACCAGUGGCGAAGGCGGCUCACUGGCUCGAUACUGACGCUGAGGUGC
rnacentral:rRNA from 1 species